UUUUCAGGUUUUGAUGAUGAACAAAAUAAAAUAGAUCAAUAAGUAAUAAUAAUAAAUAACUAAUUUGCAUUAAUUGAUCAGUCUCAUAAAUCGAGGGUUGUAAUUAAUAGUUUGAAGUUCCCGCCUUCUUUUGUGGAAGUGCGGCUAUGUUUAUUUGUGCUUUAGAACCAAACUGUACAGGAAUACAUUUUCAUAUAAUUCACCCAUUUAAACUAUAUUAAAGCCUGUGAACACCCACACAGGUGUUUGCAGUUAAUUUUUGAUUAGACCUCUUCUUGGGACUGUGUGGGCGUGUAGACUGUCAUUGACUGAUAUCUUCCUUUGUUGCAUCUCUUAGAGUGGGACGAAUUACACUUUAUUGUUCUUAUUAAAGAAUCGAGAAUUGUGACGUAAUAAAUGUCCAUUAAAGCUCCAGCCCAACUUCAACCUGAGCCAGAAUAACUGAAAACACCUGUGUGGGUGUUCAGAGGCUUUAAGGUUUAUAGUUAUGCAUAAUAAAGGUUGUGGUCGCUUUGAGUGACAGGUGGGGAGUCGGUCAAGAUGUUGAUGGCUAGAGCCGAUCACACUGAGCUUCACAACAUCUGUGUAGAACAAUCAGAGAAUGACUUUUUAUGUUUCUGAUUCACUCUCUUUGUUCUCAGCACUCGUUACAGCCCUAUUUAAUUCAGUAUUCUCACGUGUUUGCUUUAUAAAUGUUAGUUCAAAUGAUAAAUGUUCCUCUUUUCUCACAGAUUACACCUUUGCCAUUGCAUGGCCCAUGGUAGUGGCCUGUUCAUAUUCUUCUGUCAUCAUCUAUGUCUCCAUGAUACUCUACAGUGAAAGCAGGUAACAAACAUCUUCAGCUGAUGACAACUGAUACCUGAGGAAAAAGCCGGAGGAGCCGGAGAUCAAACCGUCAGAUUUCUGCUCAACCCUCCUGAGCCACAGCCGGUGUGUUGGAGGAAACAUGUUUUCUAUUUGUGAGAAAAUGUAAAAAAUAAACACUGGCAUUUACUGCAUCACCACGGCAACAGAGUUCCACGAAAUGUUCAUAACAUAUCGUCAAUGUGUGAAGAGUUCAGCUGGAUGUGGUCAGUCGACAAGGAGAAGCACAAGGAAGUUUAAAACUUCCUGUUUCCAGUAGGGGGCGCUAUGAGUACGACUGAGUAUUGGCAAGUCGACAUGUUCAGGACGGGAAUCGAUCAGACUCCAUCUGAUCGAUUCCCUGGAGGAGUUUGGGGUCCGUGACCUAAACAAGAAAAGCAUUAAAGCUCAAAGAAUAAAAGAUAUAAGAAAGAUAAAAUAAUAUUUAAGGGCUGUCUUCUAAUAAUUUAAAGACUUUAAAAUGUAUUUUUGUUGUUUUCUUUCACAAACAUUCCUGAGAUUAUAUACAAAGGUUUUGAAUGAAGAUGUUUUCUACAAUAAAUAAAGUAUUCCAACAAAAA